rnacentral:lncRNA from 1 species
GGGCAGACACACUGAAGUCGCUAGACAUUUGAGGAACACAUCCGGGGAAGAAGACACAGGUGGCUGGUCAUGGAGAGCCCGCUGGGGGAAGAGCACACAGACAGGCACCGGCAGGCCAUUGACCAGCGGGACAAGGUGGGCUCAAUGUCAUCACAAGGGUGCUUAAGAGGGAAAGAGGAAGCCAUGAGGGUCAGAGUCAAAGGAAGACUUGAAGAUACUACACUGCGGACUUUAAAGAUGAAGGAAGGGGCGAAAACCAAGAAUGUGGGAAGCCUCUAGAAGCUAGAGAAGGCAAGGAAACAAAUUUUCCACUAGAGCCUCCAGAAGGAACACAGCCCUGCUGACCCACUGUAAUGUCUGACCUCUAGAUGUGUAAGGGUAGUAAGACUGAAAGUCUCAGAAAGGCACUGUUAAAUUCUUAUUCCUCAACUAUGCAACUCAAAACUGGGGUCCUCAGCAGUGAGCGAGGGGUGAGAGAAGACACUGUAUAAACAUGGCACAUCCUCCUGGAAAGUCAACUUUACUCAAAGGUUCUUACACACAGUGACAGCUAGCAGAGUCUAAAAUGCUGACAUUAUGACUUAGAGAUGUGAUAAAGAGAAACAUCUAUUGCAUUUUCUGUCUGGUUCCAGUGUCGUCUAUGGUGUGAUUCAUCUCCCAAUACCCCUGGGUGCAAUAAAACUGGUCCCUUCUUUGUACCCCGUAGCUCUUUGUUCCUCUCCUCGUAUGUGAUGGCUGUUUGAGCAUCUUUUCACCCCUCCACACCAGGAACUCCUCAGUGAGUUCUUGAGAUCUAUGCCCUAUUCACCUUUCCAGAAAAUUUGAUUCCUGUCUUCAAGGAGUUUCCAGUCUGGGCAAGGAAGCAGACAUAUAAACAUGGAAUUACGUUGCAAUUUGGAAAGUGAUGUAAAACAAUUAUCUAAAUUAGUGUACACAGAUGAGCACUAAUUUACUAAAGAAUCUUGCUUUUCUCAUAUAACAACUGAGCAGUCGGCAUGUAGGUGUAGUCUGUUUCUUAAAAUAGCAAUGUUUUCCCAGUCUUCAUAUCAAUAUUUAUGUUGUUACUCAUGCUCUGUUAAAACAAAACAAAAUAAAACAAAAUCUCUCAAA